AUUGAACGCUGGCGGCAGGCCUAACACAUGCAAGUCGAGCGAGCGGCGGACGGGUGAGUAAUGUCUGGGAAACUGCCUGAUGGAGGGGGAUAACUACUGGAAACGGUAGCUAAUACCGCAUACCAUCAGAUGUGCCCAGAUGGGAUUAGCUAGUAGGUGGGGUAACGGCUCACCUAGGCGACGAUCCCUAGCUGGUCUGAGAGGAUGACCAGCCACACUGGAACUUAGACACGGUCCAGACUCCUACGGUAGGCAGCAGUUGGGAAUAUUGCACAAUGGGCGCAAGCCUGAUUCAGCCAUGACGCGUGUGUGAAGAAGGCCUUCGGGUUGUAAAGUACUUUCAGCGGGGAGGCGUUACCCGCAGAAGAAGCACCGGCUAACUCCGUGCCAGCAGCCGCGGUAAUUC
rnacentral:rRNA from 1 species